rnacentral:rRNA from 1 species
UACGUAGGGGGCAAGCGUUGUCCGGAAUCAUUGGGCGUAAAGAGCGUGUAGGCGGCCCGAUAAGUCCGCUGUGAAAGUCCAGGGCUCAACCCUGGGAUGCCGGUGGAUACUGUCGGGCUCGAGUCCGGAAGAGGAGUGUGGAAUUCCUGGUGUAGCGGUGAAAUGCGCAGAUAUCAGGAGGAACACCGAUGGCGAAGGCGGCAUCCUGGACCGAGAUUGACGCUGAGGCGCGAAAGCCAGGGGAGCAAACAGGG